rnacentral:lncRNA from 1 species
AUGGGGCUACACCAGGAGCAAUGAUGAAAUGCUUCUCAGCCGGGCGCAGUGGUUCACAUCUGUAAUCCCAGCACUUUGGGAGGCCGAGGCCCGAGGAUCACUUGAGCCCAGGAGUUCAAGACCAGCCUGGGCAACAUGGUGAGACAUCAUCUCUACUUUUUUUUUUUUAAUAAAAAAGAAAUAUGGCUGGACACGGUGACGCACGCCUGUAAUCCCAGCACUUCG